rnacentral:rRNA from 1 species
UACGUAGGGUGCAAGCGUUAAUCGGAAUUACUGGGCGUAAAGGGUGCGCAGGCGGUAUUGUAAGCCAGAUGUGAAAUCCCCGGGCUCAACCUGGGAACUGCGUUUGGAACUGCAAUGCUAGAGUGUGUCAGAGGGGGGUGGAAUUCCACGUGUAGCAGUGAAAUGCGUAGAGAUGUGGAGGAACACCGAUGGCGAAGGCAGCCCCCUGGGAUAACACUGACGCUCAGGCACGAAAGCGUGGGGAGCAAACAGGAUUAGAUACCCUGGUAGUCCACGCCCUAAACGAUGACAACUAGCCGUUGGGAACUUCGGUUCUUGGUGGCGUAGCUAACGCGAGAAGUUGUCCGCCUGGGGAGUACGGUCGCAAGAUUAAA